CAUCAUCCGAUGUGGUGGCAGCGCUCAUUAGCACUCACCAGGCUGGUUUUAAUAUAGUUAACGAACCUCUCCAUCAGAAGCAUUACUAAUUCUCACUCAGACAUCAGCACCAAGGGGCAGCAGUUGGGACCCAUUCAGUGCUUCAUCCCUCCAGCUUAGGGCUGUGCCCCACCAUGGCUGGAUCUUCAGGAGCUCAGCUUGAUUAAGAUAAGAAUGUGAUGAGGAAGACUCACUGCAUGAGAGCAGAAAAGCUUCAGUGUGAGAGCUUCAGGACUGCGCUUGGGGAUGAGACACCUCCAAAGGAGAUGGCACCCACUGAUGGAUGGAGCUCCAACCCCGACCUGCUCCUCGCUUCAUCCACGUCUUCUCACAAAUGCAAUACGGAUGGGAGGUUCUUUUGUGCAAUGUGAUGAGACAGCACGAAGCCAGGAGGAAAAAAAAGCCGGACGGAGGUGGAAAUGGGUUGGGUGUUAUUGCAGGGUUUGGGGUUUUGUUGUUUUGUUUUCUUUUCUUGUUAUAAAGAAACUCUUGGAAGGUUGAGCAGUCGGAAGGGGAAUGCUGAGCAGAGCCACCGUUGGGCUGCCCAAGUGGUCUGCUUGGGGUGGAAGCAAAGUGGGGGCACGUGGGCUGCUCCCAGUGCUCCCAGUGACACGGGCUGGUUUUGGCCAUCGGAAGUGAACAAGCUCUGUUCUAUUUUUACUGGCUUUCCUGUAGAUGCUCUUUAUAAAUAGGUACGUGCUGCACCAAAGGCGUCCCUCCCUGCCUCCUGCAAUGGGAGCCAUGUCCUCCCACCAGGCUGCAGCUCCCCAGCACUGGAAUGAAUGCCAAAAGGUGUUCGGUGUCUGGGGGUGAGGGCUGACCCCAUUUCCAUCCCUGUGAGCCUCGAAUAACCCAACGGUGCUCUCCUCCCAUUGCGGUGGAUGGAGCUCGGAGGGCUCUGUGCUCCGUGUCACAUCCAGCCCUGCAAAGCAGCUGUGAAGCGAUGGGUUUGCAGCCUUCCUGCAGCACUUAUUCUGGUCCUGAGGGCGCAAAGGGAUCGAACAAACAAACCUGCAGUGAUCCCAUAGGGGGGAGCAACCGUCUGCCUGCAGGGGGGUCGGGGCUGCAGACAGCCCAGCACCCCAUGAGAUGGGACCCAGCACCCUCAGCACCCCCUGUGGGCAGGAGGAGAGCUGAUUUCCUCUCGGGAAGCCCUGAUCCCAGAGGUGUUGAAUUUAGUUUCUUUUGGAACAUUAAACAGUAGCCCUUAAAAGUGGGGAUAGAAUGUAUCAGUACUA
ensembl:lncRNA